rnacentral:tRNA from 1 species
CGGGCCGUAGCGUAGCUUGGUUAUCGCGCCUGUCUGGGGGGCAGGAGAUCGCUGGUUCGAAUCCAGUCGGCCCGACCA